UAGUGGCGAACGGGUGAGUAACACGUGGGCAAUCUGCCCUUCACUCUGGGACAAGCCCUGGAAACGGGGUCUAAUACCGGAUAAUACUUUCUCCUGCAUGGGGGAGGGUUGAAAGCUCCGGCGGUGAAGGAUGAGCCCGCGGCCUAUCAGCUUGUUGGUGGGGUGAUGGCCUACCAAGGCGACGACGGGUAGCCGGCCUGAGAGGGCGACCGGCCACACUGGGACUGAGACACGGCCCAGACUCCUACGGGAGGCAGCAGUGCGGAAUAUUGCACAAUGGGCGGAAGCCUGAUGCAGCGACGCCGCGUGAGGGAUGACGGCCUUCGGGUUGUAAACCUCUUUCAGCAGGGAAGAAGCGUGAGUGACGGUACCUGCAGAAGAAGCGCCGGCUAACUACGUGCCAGCAGCCGCGGUAAUACGUAGGGCGCAAGCGUUGUCCGGAAUUAUUGGGCGUAAAGAGCUCGUAGGCGGCUUGUCGCGUCGGAUGUGAAAGCCCGGGGCUUAACUCCGGGUCUGCAUUCGAUACGGGCAGGCUAGAGUGNGGUAGGGGAGAUCGGAAUUCCU
rnacentral:rRNA from 1 species